GCUCAGUAACACGCGGAUAACAUGCCCUUGGGUCCGGCAUAACCCCGGGAAACUGGGGAUAAUUCCGGAUAACGCACAUAUGCUGGAAUGCUUUAUGCGUCAAAUGGAUUCGUCCGCCCAAGGAUGGGUCUGCGGCCUAUCAGGUAGUAGUGGGUGUAAUGUACCUACUAGCCUACGACGGGUACGGGUUGUGAGAGCAAGAGCCCGGAGAUGGAUUCUGAGACAUGAAUCCAGGCCCUACGGGGCGCAGCAGGCGCGAAAACUUUACAAUGCGGGAAACCGUGAUAAGGGGACACCGAGUGCCAGCAUCAUAUGCUGGCUGUCCGGGUGUGUAAAAUACACCUGUUAGCAAGGGCCGGGCAAGACCGGUGCCAGCCGCCGCGGUAACACCGGCGGCCCGAGUGGUGAUCGUGAUUAUUGGGUCUAAAAGGUCCGUAGCCGGUUUGGUCAGUCCUCCGGGAAAUCUGACGGCUUAACCGUUAGGCUUUCGGGGGAUACUGCCAGACUUGGAACCGGGAGAGGUAAGAGGUACUACAGGGGUAGGAGUGAAAUCUUGUAAUCCCUGUGGGACCACCUGUGGCGAAGGCGUCUUACCAGAACGGGUUCGACGGUGAGGGACGAAAGCUGGGGGCACGAACCGGAUUAGAUACCCGGGUAGUCCCAGCCGUAAACGAUGCUCGCUAGGUGUCAGGCAUGGCGCGACCGUGUCUGGUGCCGCAGGGAAGCCGUGAAGCGAGCCACCUGGGAAGUACGGCCGCAAGGCUGAAACUUAA
rnacentral:rRNA from 1 species